rnacentral:rRNA from 1 species
ACAGGGAUUACCUCAGUAACGGCGAGUGAAGCGGUAACAGCUCAAAUUUGAAAUCUGGGUCUUUCAGGCUCCGAGUUGUAAUUUGUAGAAGAUGCUUUGGGUGCGGCCCCGGUCUAAGUUCCUUGGAACAGGACGUCAUAGAGGGUGAGAAUCCCGUAUGUGAUCGGUGGCUUGCGCCCGUGUAAAGCUCUUUCGACGAGUCGGGUUGUUUGGGAAUGCAGCUCUAAAUGGGUGGUAAAUUUCAUCUAAAGCUAAAUAUUGGCCAGAGACCGAUAGCGCACAAGUAGAGUGAUCGAAAGAUGAAAAGGACUUUGGAAAGAGAGUUAAACAGUACGUGAAAUUGUUGAAAGGGAAGCGCUUGCAACCAGACUUGCGCGGGGUUGAUCAUCCGGGGUUCUCCCCGGUGCACUCGGCCUCGCUCAGGCCAGCAUCGGUUUCGGUGGUUGGACAAAGGCCUUGGGAAUGUGACUUCUUUCGGGGAGUGUUAUAGCCCUCGGUGCAAUGCAGCCUACCGGGACCGAGGACCGCGCUUCGGCUAGGAUGCUGGCGUAAUGGUUGUAAGCGACCCGUCUUGAAACACGGACCAAGGAGUCUAACAUCUAUGCGAGUGUUUGGGUGUCAAACCCAUACGCGUAAUGAAAGUGAACGGAGGUGAGAACCCUUAAGGGUGCAUCAUCGACCGAUCCUGAUGUCUUCGGAUGGAUUUGAGUAAGAGCAUAGCUGUUGGGACCCGAAAGAUGGUGAACUAUGCCUGAAUAGGGUGAAGCCAGAGGAAACUCUGGUGGAGGCUCGCAGCGGUUCUGACGUGCAAAUCGAUCGUCAAAUUUGGGCAUAGGGGCGAAAGACUAAUCGAACCAUUGUGGGAGCAGUUGCUAGGUGGUUGAGAGGCAGCCGUAAUAGGCUGCCUAGUCCAAGGUCUAGGGCGACAUUGUCAAAUUGUUCGGGGACGUCCUGCUAAUGCUGAGCUACCGCAGCCUGCCGAAAGGGAGGUGCGCACCGGGCGUAAUGGCCUCGGGGAUGGUAAUAACGCUCUCGCUAGGGAUAAUCCGCAGCCAAGCCCUACCGGGACACUUCGGUGUCCCCACGGGUGCAGUUCACAGACUAAAUGGCAGUGGGUGCUACACCCGUAGCGCUUAAGAUAUAGUCGAGCCGCUGAGAGAUCAGUCGAGCGGACGAAAGGUGUUGAGGGGGCCACCUGCGCUUCGGUGCAGGUCCUGAACACCCAGAGCCGCUCGGGGGCUGGCGCGGGUACGCCCCGCGUCGAGC